CCAGACUCCUACGGGAGGCAGCAGUGGGGAAUAUUGCACAAUGGGGGAAACCCUGAUGCAGCGACGCCGCGUGAGCGAAGAAGUAUUUCGGUAUGUAAAGCUCUAUCAGCAGGGAAGAAAUUGACGGUACCUGAGUAAGAAGCUCCGGCUAAAUACGUGCCAACAGCCGCGGUAAUACGUAUGGAGCAAGCGUUAUCCGGAUUUACUGGGUGUAAAGGGAGCGUAGGCGGCCUGCCAAGUCUGAUGUGAAAUACCGGGGCUCAACCCCGGGGCUGCAUUGGAAACUGACAGGCUGGAGUGCCGGAGAGGCAGGCGGAAUUCCUAGUGUAGCGGUGAAAUGCGUAGAUAUUAGGAGGAACACCAGUGGCGAAGGCGGCCUGCUGGACGAUGACUGACGCUGAGGCUCGAAAGCGUGGGGAGCAAACAGGAUUAGAUACCCCUGUAU
rnacentral:rRNA from 1 species